rnacentral:rRNA from 1 species
AGCGAACGCUGGCGGCAUGCCUAACACAUGCAAGUCGAACGAAGCCUUCGGGCUUAGUGGCGCACGGGUGCGUAACGCGUGGGAAUCUGCCCCUUGCUUCGGAAUAACAGUUAGAAAUGACUGCUAAUACCGGAUGAAGUCUUCGGACCAAAGAUUUAUCGGCAAGGGAUGAGCCCGCGUAGGAUUAGGUAGUUGGUGGGGUAAAGGCCUACCAAGCCGACGAUCCUUAGCUGGUCUGAGAGGAUGAUCAGCCACACUGGGACUGAGACACGGCCCAGACUCCUACGGGAGGCAGCAGUGGGGAAUAUUGGACAAUGGACGCAAGUCUGAUCCAGCAAUGCCGCGUGAGUGAUGAAGGCCUUAGGGUUGUAAAGCUCUUUUACCAGGGAUGAUAAUGACAGUACCUGGAGAAUAAGCUCCGGCUAACUCCGUG